AUUGAACGCUGGCGGCAGGCUUAACACAUGCAAGUCGAGCGGAGAGAGGUAGCUUGCUACCGAUCUUAGCGGCGGACGGGUGAGUAAUGCUUAGGAAUCUGCCUAUUAGUGGGGGACAACAUUUCGAAAGGAAUGCUAAUACCGCAUACGUCCUACGGGAGAAAGCAGGGGAUCUUCGGACCUUGCGCUAAUAGAUGGGCCUAAGUCGGAUUAGCUAGUUGGUGGGGUAAAGGCCUACCAAGGCGACGAUCUGUAGCGGGUCUGAGAGGAUGAUCCGCCACACUGGGACUGAGACACGGCCCAGACUCCUACGGGAGGCAGCAGUGGGGAAUAUUGGACAAUGGGCGCAAGCCUGAUCCAGCCAUGCCGCGUGUGUGAAGAAGGCCUUAUGGUUGUAAAGCACUUUAAGCGAGGAGGAGGCUACUCUAGUUAAUACCUAGAGAUAGUGGACGUUACUCGCAGAAUAAGCACCGGCUAACUCUGUGCCAGCAGCCGCCGUAAUAC
rnacentral:rRNA from 1 species